AUGUGUGUUGAUUGUAGAGGCAUUAAUAAUAUUACUGAUGAGGACAUCAAUACAAUUGUUACACCCACAGCCCCUGCUGCUAUACAUACUGGACCAAUUACUAGAGCUCGUGCACGCCAAGUAAAUUACCAGGUACUUUCGUUUCUUGGUAAUGAUUCUAAUGUUCAUGAGAAUAUGAUGCUGCCUAAAUUGGAUACAUUUGUUUUGCUUACAAAUGAAGGGCCUAGCUUGGAGAAGGAUGAACAUUGGAGCAAGAACAAGCAUGGAGAUGAUGGCAUGCGCAAGGGGAACAAGAACGGAGUUACA
rnacentral:rRNA from 1 species